GGCUCUUUGGUGUAGUGGCAGCAUAGUCGCUUUGGGUGCGACUGACCCGGAUUCGAUUUCCGGAAGAGCCC
rnacentral:tRNA from 1 species